AAAUGUCCCCUGUGUCCCCGUGAGAUGGGUACACACCCUAAGAACACGGAGGGCCACCGGAGCUUCUCAUUCAGCUACAUGGGAGCCAAGACCUUGCCAGGUGGAAUCAGUCACACAUUUUAUUUACAGGAUAGCCCAAAUUUAUGUGCUGAUUUUCAUUCCUGCCCUUCCUGAUUUGGGGAGUGCUGCAUUCGGGCACCCUCGGAGCCGUUCGAAAUGUCAAGACGGUGGCUUCUGCCUCAGCCAGUUGGAAUCGGCCUGUGUCAAUUCUUCAGGGAGUACAUCUUUUAUCCACUCUGGAAAAUUCCAAAUAGUGCCCUAGCAUUGUCUCAUGUGAGUGAGGUUCUCUGAGAUCAUACAUCAAGGGGAAGUGUCUUAUUUAAGAUUAAAAACCGGAACUAAACUAAA
rnacentral:lncRNA from 1 species